GACGAACGCUGGCGGUGUGCCUAACACAUGCAAGUCGAGCGGGAACCCGAGGAGGGGUGACCCUCCUUGGGGGAGAGCGGCGAACGGGUGAGUACCACGUGGGCAACCUGCCCCAGACACUGGGAUAACUCCGGGAAACCGGGGCUAAUACCGGAUACUCCGGUCGGAUUGCAUGGCCCGACCGGGAAAGCUCCGACGGUCUGGGAUGGGCCCGCGGCCUAUCAGCUCGUUGGUGGGGUAACGGCCUACCAAGGCGACGACGGGUAGCUGGUCUGAGAGGACGACCAGCCACACUGGGACUGAGACACGGCCCAGACUCCUGCGGGAGGCAGCAGUGGGGAAUAUUGCGCCAAUGCGCGAAAGCGUGACGCAACGACACCGCGUGGGGGAUGAAGGCCCUCGGGUUGUAAACCCCUUUCGGCAGGGACGAAGCGCAAGUGACGGUACCUGCAGAAGAAGUCCCGGCUAACUACGUGCCAGCCGCCGCCGUAAAAC
rnacentral:rRNA from 1 species